CCUCUUCAGAGGGCCUCCGCGUCCGCGCCCUGCCCCUGUGGCUGGAGAGGCUGAAAACAAAGAGAACCAUCACGAGGCCAAUGCUGUGAGUCAGCAGCCACUUCGCCGCGGGUAUAGGCGCCCAUACAACUACCGGCGUCGACCUCGGCCACCCAAUGCUCCAGCUCAGGAUGGGAAAGAGACUAAGGUGACUGAAACACCUGCUGAAAAUCCUGCUCCCGUGACCGAGCAGAGUGGUGCUGAGUAAUGUCUGGCUCCUCAGGCACCUCUACCAUCCCUAAGGUGUCCUAAAAUACAACUCAAAAUUAACACCAAAGAAACACACAAGCAAUAAAUUGUCAACAGUGAUGACGAAAGCAAAGAUUUGAAACAUCAGAAGUUAAAAGAAAAAAAAAAUUACCAGCAGCUGAGAUCCAGGGAACGCCUGCAAGACAGAUGCAUGAAGAGAGAGAGAGUGAGAUUCAGAAAGAACAACCUCCCCAGCUUCAACAGCAACUGUGGGAUGGUUUUGGGUUUUUUUUUUUAGAAUUUCACUGUUUUCCUAGUACUGAAUUCUUAAAUUUUUCUUUUGGUAUCAAACUGAAAAGGGAAAAAAAACCCAAGCAAAGAACUGAAAUUUAAAUCAAAUGCUUUUUUUAUUGGAUGCUGGUGCUAAACCUCCCAGGUGUGAUUGAGUUUUUUUUUCUGUGCCAGUCCUGUUAACUGCAGGACAGAGGGAGGAGAAACUUCUGCUUUCCUUGGUAAGAUCUAUUUGAAACUGUGCAGCAUGGGUGACGUUCCUCACAAAUAAAAAUGAUUUAAACUAC